AUUCCAUCACAAUCAUCUAGGGUUUUAAGCCAAGCUUAUAUAGCCCGUCAUAAAGAGAACUCAUCUGCCUCUCUCUCAAUACCAAUAAAUAUCACCACCGUCCUUCUCUCCUAUCACUAUUCAAUCUAUCGCAAACUCCUUUAUGUCUCUCCAAUUUUAUGAGAGGGUUUCCUUCAAGAACACAGUAAAAUAGAUUGGAUCUUUAAACUUUUGUUCCUUUUCAUGAGGG
rnacentral:misc_RNA from 1 species